UGGGGAAUUUUGGACAAUGGGCGAAAGCCUGAUCCAGCAAUGCCGCGUGUGUGAAGAAGGCCUUCGGGUUGUAAAGCACUUUUGUCCAGAAAGAAAUCCUUGGCUCUAAUACAGUCGGGGGAUGACGGUACCGGAAGAAUAAGCACCGGCUAACUACGUGCCAGCAGCCGCGGUAAUACGUAGGGUGCAAGCGUUAAUCGGAAUUACUGGGCGUAAAGCGUGCGCAGGCGGUUUGCUAAGACCGAUGUGAAAUCCCCGGGCUCAACCUGGGAACUGCAUUGGUGACUGGCAGGCUAGAGUAUGGCAGAGGGGGGUAGAAUUCCACGUGUAGCAGUGAAAUGCGUAGAGAUGUGGAGGAAUACCGAUGGCGAAGGCAGCCCCCUGGGCCAAUACUGACGCUCAUGCACGAAAGCGUGGGGAGCAAACAGGAUUAGAUACCCCUGGUAGUCCACGCCCUAAAACGAUGUCAACUAGUUGUUGGGGAUUCAUUUCCUUAGUAACGUAGCUAACGCGUGAAGUUGACCGCCUGGGGAGUACGGUCGCAAG
rnacentral:rRNA from 1 species